ACGGGAACUGCACGACCGCAAAUCUGACUCGCCGUGAAUUUCAACGGCUUGGGAUUGCGGCCGUGU
rnacentral:ncRNA from 1 species